rnacentral:rRNA from 1 species
ACCUGCGGAAGGAUCAUUAACG